CCGCAUGUUCUAGCCCCUCCGGCGGUGCCCCAGGUCAACGGAGCCGUGCAUCCUGACGAUAUCAACGUGAUGCCCGGACCGGUGCCCCAUGUCAACGCCGCGGGCCAAGGACAGGUCC